AUACAAAGUCUUAAUCCGGGGGUCCACAAGUAAGAGAAAGGUAUUUUUUACUCAGACAAUAUAGCCAGACAGACUUGAAUGCUAAUUGGUGUUAAGAUGUCUGUAGUUAAAAUAAAGUUGGGCCCAAUAAACUGGUAGAUCAAAGGCCUGUUGAGCGCUCAUGCCCGGUGUGAUUUUAAAAUUGACUCCAAAUGCGUUGACAAGAAAAUAAGUAAAACUGUUAUUGAAUGUGAUUGGUUGAUAAAAUCAACGUACUAUAGGCUACAUUUUGUCUGCGAUAUCAUCUCGGUGGAAGCGGACAUUAAAUGAAGUGAUUUCACACAAUUAAUUUAACAUUUAACAACGUGCUGAAAUGAUUUUGGAGCAGUGAUAUGUUUGACAAAUGUAAGCUAAUGGUCACAUAGAAUACAAGACCGCAGAAUCACAUUAUGAUUAAAGCAGAAACGGCUCGACUUGAACCAGCAGACGGAAGAUAUGGACGAACAACAAGAAGAAGUUAUGGAGGUCCCAACAACUGAACCUAUGGAAGUAGAAGAAUCGUUUACAGCCGAAACCCGAUACGAUGUGCCAGUUCCAGUCAUGGAGUCCUCCAUCUCAGACGAUGCCGACGUUAGUGUCUUCUGCGACGAAGAACCCGUAGUGGUGUAUACGCAGGUAGAAGCUGGUACCUCCCGUGGCAAGUCCAAGUUGUUUGACAACCAAGGGUUUAGUUAUACAAUUAAGACAGAGAAGAAAACUACGAUUUGGAGGUGUUCCAAAAGAAGCGGACCAACACGAUGUCCGGCAACAGUAAUCCAAGAUGGUGAUACAUACCAACCAGGCUUAAAGAACCAUCUUCACCCAGCAGAACCCGGUAUACAGACGGCUACCAAGAUAAAAGUUACAGCAAAGCAUGAAGCCAAAGGAAAUGUUUUUACCAAGUCAUGUUCCUCAAUAGCGGAGAGAGUUUUAUCCAGUGUCGGUUCUGCAGAAGAACCCAUUCAUAGCAGACCACCCAUGGCAGCACUUGUAAGGUCGCUACAAAGAACCCGACAGACUCUGCGACCAAAAGAUCCCACUGACGUGUCGUCAAGCCUUGACGAAGAUUUCAUCGAUCAUAGUGCACCGGGAUUUUAUCAAAAAAGAGUAAAAGUUGGGGAAAGGCGCCAUCACAUUUUUUGUACUGAUAGACAGAUGCAACUACUCGCAGGCGCAAAAACUAUGAUAUAUGGAUGCAACUUUUCGGGUGGUGAACAAGCCAUGGUCUCAGCUGUUUUCCAUCCACGCCUUCAUUAAGACUGGAGAGACCACCCGACAGUUACCAUUGGUGUUUUGUGUAAUGUCGGGUAAAAGCCAAGACGACUAUUAUAAGGUCAUUUUCAAAUAAAUUCAUCAGCAUAUUAUUCGUUUUAAAUAAAUAUAAAACUUUUAUGAGAAACGAUGAUUAUCAAAGAACCUCAGUGAUGAUAUGUGACUCUUUCCACCUUCCAGCAAUAAUUAUUGAGAAUUUACCAAGGACUCCAUUGGCAUUGAAUCGAAGAAAAACAGUUUCAAUAUUGGAUGUAUAUGCAAAUCACCCAGAAAAAGAUCAUGUAAUAACAAAAGAAAUUAUAAAAGAAAAAAAUGGAAGAAGAAAUGGCUGGAAAAAAUGAUGAUAGAGCAGCUUUUUCUUGUUACCCACCUCGGAAGAUCAAGUUGGAAAGGGCUAUUGAUAUUGUGGAGACGUUUUCUCACAGAUCUUGCUUAUCAGACAAAGACUAGGUAAGUACCA